CUUGAACAAUGGGGCUUAUUAGAAGAAAAGAGAUAUUGAUAAGAGAUAUCGAUAGUGAUGCUGACUUUACCAAAAAGAUAAUGUUUGAAAUUGCAAAUUUCAUUAUCCACAAAUGCAUAUCAUAAUAUCUAUGUGCCACUAAUACGAACCAAAAUUACGUACAUAACAGAAACAAUGAAUUUAGAAACAAAUGUUUGUAUUAUUACUUAAUUAAAAGGAAAAUAUUACAGAGAUUAAAUCCCUAUAAUUCCAGAGCUAAGCUCCUCAGAGAAGAGUGGUUCUCUCUCUGCCCAAAACCUUUCGGUUCCUAACCGAAAAGAUUCUCAAUAAUCCCUCUCUUUCCCUUACCUCAUAAAACUUCAUUAUGCUCUUUAUUACAAUAAUAGCCAUUUUUCUAUAUUACUCAUACUUGAUCUCUAUCAAUACCCAACCCUUCAAAACAACCUUGUCCUCAAGGUUGGACAUGAUUCCUAUUACUCUUCAUGCUGCUAGGUGAUCCUUCAAUUCACUCGAGAAACACAGGUCUGGAUGACUCCUGACUCGUACAAUAAUGGCCCUUGAUUAUUAGACAUGUUCACACCAUUUCAACAUCAAUUUUAGAAUGGUAACAGGUUGUUCAUUCAAAAAGCUGAGGAUUGGAGGGUUUAACAAGGCUUAUUGGAAGUCUAUUCGGUGGUUAUCUGUGUUAGACUCAAGGAAGCUUUUGUAUAGGAUUAUGUCCAGGGACGAACCCAAGGGGGGCAAGCAAGGGCUCCAACCCCCCCUCCCCCAUGCAAAUAUGUUUAAUAUGUAUAACUUUUAAUGUAUAUGAGUUGCUAAUGACACCUCUUAAUUUUCCCA